CCCCCCCCCCCCCGCCGCUGCCGCCAUCUACCACCACCAUCCUCGCCGCUCCCUCCCCUCGCCCAGCCAUAUCUAGACGCCUAACCGGGAGAGGAGGAGGGGGGUUGACAAGGAGAGAGCAGUCAGCAGGCGGCGGCGGCGGCUCCGAGUACAGGUAGGCGACAGCGGCGACUGGGUAGCAGCGAGCGGCCGAUUCAUCUCGCCUUCAUCUCCUCGCUAGCUCCAUGUCCUUCGCAGGUUCUAAGAUAUGGCCUCUACUCCUCGACAGCCACACCGAGCGGCCCAUCCAAGAAACCAGCCCUGCCGCUCUGCUGCUCCCAACCACCCUGAGUCUCAACCUCGCCGCCUAUUCUGGUCGAUGCUGUGAUUGAUAAUAACCAGGAAGAUUUCACCGCUCAGUUCAUCCAUUUGAAUCCUUCUGCUGUAAUUCUGUUCCCUACCCUUUCUUACUUGCAGGAAAUUCAAGUGUGGUACACAUACGAUCACGGUGGAGGAGAGAUCGACGGUCGACGUGAAGCCGGGGCGGAAGAAGGGCACGAAUAUCACCUUCCUAGAAGGAAUGAUCUGAUUUUUCUGUCUUAUGUGCAGCGUAAACUAUGUUUACCAAUCAUUCUGUCCAGGAGCAUCCAGACAGGGAGGUGCUUCACACCCUGCGUCUAGGCAUCUACUGCAAUGCCAACCACAUGGCUAAGAUGGCCGUUGCCAUCACCGAGUUCCGCGCUCUCUGCUACUUCAUUGAAUCCAGCUUUGUGGACACUAUUUACCAGUUGGGAGAGAAACAUAAUUGAUGUGUAUGGAAUUUCAGAAACUGCCAAUUGUUAUUGUAGCUUUCAUGCCUACCAGACGAAAUCAAAGGCAGGUGCUUUGUUUCUCAAGUGAAGUAAAUCAAAGUGUUAUAGUGGAAGAAUUAUCCUAACAUAAGAGCCUUAUUUGUUUCAUAAAAAAUAUGUACAGUUGGUUCAGACAACGCUUAAUUUGAUGUUGUUAGUUCGAUUUGAGUUUC